AGAACGACCAGAGAACCAGUUAA
rnacentral:rRNA from 1 species